UACGAAGGGGGCUAGCGUUGCUCGGAAUCACUGGGCGUAAAGGGCGCGUAGGCGGCCAUUCAAGUCGGGGGGUGAAAGCCUGUGGCUCAACCACAGAAUUGCCUUCGAUACUGUUUGGCUUGAGUUUGGUAGAGGUUGGUGGAACUGCGAGUGUAGAGGUGAAAUUCGAUAGAUAUUCGCAAGAACACCAGUGGCGAAGGCGGCCAACUGGACCAACACUGACGCUGAGGCGGCGAAAAGCGUG
rnacentral:rRNA from 1 species